CGCAUGGUUCGGCAUGGAGUGGCGCACGGGUGAGUACGCGUGGGAACUGCUAGCAGUAUGGGACAACCGCGGGAAACUGCGGCUAAUACCGUAUACGCCCG
rnacentral:rRNA from 1 species